rnacentral:sRNA from 12 species
GCCUUACAGACAGCUAAAGACUGGCAACCGAUAGCGAGAAUCGGGUGGGGC